UGGGGAAUUUUGGACAAUGGGCGAAAGCCUGAUCCAGCAAUGCCGCGUGUGUGAAGAAGGCCUUCGGGUUGUAAAGCACUUUUGUCCGGAAAGAAAUCCUCUGGGUUAAUACCUCGGGGGGAUGACGGUACCGGAAGAAUAAGCACCGGCUAACUACGUGCCAGCAGCCGCGGUAAUACGUAGGGUGCAAGCGUUAAUCGGAAUUACUGGGCGUAAAGCGUGCGCAGGCGGUUUUGUAAGACGGAUGUGAAAUCCCCGGGCUUAACCUGGGAACUGCAUUCGUGACUGCAAGGCUAGAGUAUGGCAGAGGGGGGUAGAAUUCCACGUGUAGCAGUGAAAUGCGUAGAGAUGUGGAGGAAUACCGAUGGCGAAGGCAGCCCCCUGGGCCAAUACUGACGCUCAUGCACGAAAGCGUGGGGAGCAAACAGGAUUAGGAUACCCUGGUAGUCCACGCCCUAAACGAUGUCAACUAGUUGUUGGGGAUUCAUUUCCUUAGUAACGUAGCUAACGCGUGAAGUUGACCGCCU
rnacentral:rRNA from 1 species